UACGUAGGGCGCAAGCGUUGUCCGGAAUUAUUGGGCGUAAAGAGCUCGUAGGCGGUUUGUCGCGUCUGUCGUGAAAGCCCACGGCUUAACCGUGGGUCUGCGGUGGAUACGGGCAGACUAGAGGCAGGUAGGGGAGAAUGGAAUUCCCGGUGUAGCGGUGAAAUGCGCAGAUAUCAGGAGGAACACCGGUGGCGAAGGCGGGUCUCUGGGCCGAUACUGACGCUGAGGAGCGAAAGCGUGGGGAGCGAACAGG
rnacentral:rRNA from 1 species